UACGGAGGAUGCAAGCGUUAUCCGGAUUUAUUGGGUUUAAAGGGUCCGCAGGCGGACUAUUAAGUCAGUGGUGAAAGCCUGCAGCUUAACUGUAGAAUUGCCAUUGAUACUGAUAGUCUUGAGUGUGGUUGAAGUGGGCGGAAUAUGACAUGUAGCGGUGAAAUGCAUAGAGAUGUCAUAGAACACCGAUUGCGAAGGCAGCUCACUAAACCAUUACUGACGCUCAGGGACGAAAGCGUGGGUAGCGAAC
rnacentral:rRNA from 1 species